UGUUUCAAGACGCACUCGUGAUGUGGACACGCCAGAGCGUCUUUAACUUUAAUCGAAAUGCCACGGACGUGAAAGUCAUCAGGCUGUCACGGAUCUGCGCGUGGCCAUGACCGGCAUGAUAAAGAACCGGACGGCUUUUCUGCGAGGAAAACGGCUAAUGGGCGAAAGAUGAGGAGAAAAACAAUAGCAAAGCGCAUCCUGUACAAUGGAUACGAAGAGACACCCGAAGAAACCGGCGCGAGGGCGAACCACGUCCUCAGUCAAGAGCCGGCGAAGAGGAGAAAAUGGAGAGAACUAAAUGGAGAGGACAUCUCAUCUCGUAAUGCUGACUAUAUUAAGUUCAAAACAAAGGCUUUUGAGGUUGACAAGCCCCUUGGAGAUGCAACAAGGGGUGCAGAUUUUACUAUGGAGGUGCUCGGAAGCCUCCAAUCACGUUCAAGGGCGGAGCUUAUUGCCAUGGUGUUGAGUAUGCAGAGGGAGAUGGACGGCCUUCGAGAGCAAAUCAGAAGCCUUACAGGGAAAGACGUGCAUCGAGCUGAAAGCUCACUGAAAACCAGCUCGUUCACAGAUCAUUUCAUGUUUCAAGAUCAUUUCAGUUUGAAGAAAAGUCCAGCAAGUUCAUGAGGAAACGUCAC
ensembl:lncRNA